GAUGAACGCUAGCGGCAGGCCUAAUACAUGCAAGUCGAACGGUGUCUUCGGACAUAGUGGCGCACGGGUGCGUAACACGUAUGCAACCUACCUUACAUUGGGGGAUAGCCUUUCGAAAGGGAGAUUAAUACCGCAUAAGACAGUAGCUGGGCAUCCAGCAGCUGUUAAAGAUUUAUCGAUGUAAGCUGGGCAUGUCGUCCAAUUAGCUAGUUGGUGAGGUAACGGCUCACCAAGGCAAUGAUUGGUAGGGGAACUGAGAGGUCAAUCCCCCACACUGGCACUGAGAUACGGGCCUGACUCCUACGGGAGGCAGCAGUAGGGAAUAUUGGGCAAUGGACGCAAGUCUGACCCAGCCAUGCCGCGUGCAGGAUGAAGGCGUUAUGCGUUGUAAACUGCUUUUAUACAGGAGAAACGGCUCUUGCGAGAGGCAUUGACGGUGCUGUAUGAAUAAGCACCGGCUAACUCCGUGCCAGCCGCCGCCGUAACAC
rnacentral:rRNA from 1 species